rnacentral:tRNA from 1 species
AAUGAAUUGCCUGAAAAAGGGUUACUUUGAUAGAGUAAAUCAUAUAAUUUUUAAUUAUAUUCAUUA